CCUACGGGCGGCAGCAGUGGGGAAUAUUGGACAAUGGGGGGAACCCUGAUCCAGCCAUGCCGCGUGUGUGAAGAAGGCCCUCGGGUUGUAAAGCACUUUCAGUGAGGAAGAACGCCUGGUGGUUAAUACCCAUCAGGAAAGACAUCACUCACAGAAGAAGCACCGGCUAACUCCGUGCCAGCAGCCGCGGUAAUACGGAGGGUGCGAGCGUUAAUCGGAAUUACUGGGCGUAAAGCGCGCGUAGGUGGCUUGAUAAGCCGGUUGUGAAAGCCCCGGGCUCAACCCGGGAACGGCAUCCGGAACUGUCAAGCUAGAGUGCAGGAGAGGAAGGUAGAAUUCCCGGUGUAGCGGUGAAAUGCGUAGAGAUCGGGAGGAAUACCAGUGGCGAAGGCGGCCUUCUGGACUGACACUGACACUGAGGUGCGAAAGCGUGGGUAGCAAACAGGAUUAGAUACCCUUGUAGUC
rnacentral:rRNA from 1 species